rnacentral:rRNA from 1 species
CUAGGCUUGACAUCCCUUUGCAAAGCCCUUAACCGGGCUCCUCUUGUUCGCAAGACAAAGGUGACAGGUGGUGCAUGGUUGUCGUCAGCUCGUGUCGUGAGAUGUUGGGUUAAGUCCCGCAACGAGCGCAACCCCUAUUUUUAGUUGCCAUCAGUUCGGCUGGGCACUCUAGAAAGACUGCCGAGGACAACUCGGAGGAAGGUGGGGAUGACGUCAAAUCAUCAUGCCCCUUAUGCUUAGGGCUACACACGUGCUACAAUGGCUGUUACAAAGGGCUGCGAGACCGCGAGGUGGAGCCAAUCCCAUAAAAACAGUCUAAGUUCGGAUUGUAGGCUGAAACUCGCCUACAUGAA